UAUAGCAAAAAGCACUCAAUCGCCUUUCACGUCCGUUGACAGUGCGGACUCUGGUCGUGACGAAGUGCACGUCCUUUUUGCAGACUUCGCAGCAUGCUACUUGAAGCUUUGGACCGCGACAGGAAUUACGUUUGCUUCCGACCGGCCGGCAAACUCUUAUCCACGUUCUUCAGUCAAGGGCGGGACAUGUAGAUGCAGCGUGGGAGAGAAAAUAGUAUCGACCAUCGACAACCUGGAUGUGAAUAAAUUGGUGACUCGUCUCGCCUGACCUCAGGUACCACGCACACACACACACACGCACACACUAUCACACUGCGUGUUAAUGUAUCACCCAGGCGUCCACGUAGAGCUCGUGCGCUCCCGCACCCGUGGUUUCACCUGUCAGACUCGGGGAGGAGGAACUCUGGUCUCACUGGUGCAGCCGGACCUGCAGCAUUCCUGCACAAACACGCCGCCGCCCGAGGCUGUACACACUCCAGAGCGAUCAGUUUGUCGAGGAUCAGAGAUGUUUGACGUGACAGUCUUGGGAGUUGAGCGCUUCACGAUGUUCACCAUGCUUGGAAACUAGGUGGUGAGCUGUAAGAGAGGUGUCAGGAACAGGAGAAUCAACAGCAUCAGUAGGCGAGCCGUCACCAUGACGAUGCAGACUGGAGCUGAACUUACGGGGACCGCCCUGGCAGUCACGGUGUUGUCUCUGCUCAACCUGUUGCUGCUGCUGCUGCUGUGUGUGAUCAGGAAAAAAAGGCGGCUGGAAGGGACAUACAGACCCAGCGCGGAGGAGAAGAAGCAGGUGGUAGCAGCGGGAACGGACAAGCCUAGUCUCCCGUUACCUUUACCCAAAGAAGAGCGCCUGAUAUGAUCUCCUGUUAUUUUAUACUCAAAUUAUAGGCGCCACUUUUAACGACUGAGGACACAAAUAAAGUAUUACCCAUCUUUCUGCAUUAAAAUGGGAAGAUGUUUUUUUUUUUUUUUUAUUCAAGUCUUGGUGGCCUUAAGAUGAAGGACUUUGUGUGUGUGUGUGUGUGUGUGUGUGUGUGUGUACUGCUAUGUAUUUAUAAGACAAACUAUUUUUGGAGUUAUGUGAAGGAAGGUUUUGUAUCAAAAUGUCUAUAUGCAUAAAAGUAUUUGUAAAUAAAUUGAGU